AUUAUGCUGGGGAAGGUUUUCCGGUUUAUCCCGGAGGGCUUGUAGCUCAGUUGGUUAGAGCGCGCGCUUGAUAAGCGUGAGGUCGGAGGUUCAAGUCCUCCCAGGCCCACCAAUUUAAUUAAUUGCUGAUAAAACGCUUAUUUUACGGUGCACACAAUCUCUUCGUUUUAUCUAUUAUGCUAACGCACUUCUGAAUCACACCUAUUAUUCACAACCUUUGCAGGCGG
rnacentral:misc_RNA from 1 species